rnacentral:misc_RNA from 1 species
AAUGGAAAUUUUACCUUGUCAAUUUUUGGCAAUGUCAUUUUUCUAUGUACUUUAACACAGGAAGGAUCCAUAUAAACCAAUUAUCCAACCAUUCCCGUGACUUUAUGGGCUAUCUUUCAAGUGUGCGACUAAAUCAUUCAAUGGUACGUAGUCAAAUGUUAGAAAAUUCAUUUCUAAUCAAUAAUCCAAUUAAGAAGUUCGAUACCCUUGUUCCAAUUAUUCCUUUGAUUGGAUCAUUAGCUAAAGCACACUUUUGUACCGGAUUAGGGCAUCCCAUUAGUAAACCAGUUUGGUCCGAUUUAUCAGAUUCUGAUAUUAUUGACCGAUUUGGGCGUAUAUGCAGAAAUCUUUUUCAUUAUUAUAGUGGAUCUUCCAAAAAAAAGACUUUAUAUCGAAUAAAGUAUAUACUUCGACUUUCUUGUGCUAGAACUUUAGCUCGGAAACACAAAAGUACUGUACGCACUUUUUUGAAAAGAUCGGGCUCGGAAUUAUUGGAAGAAUUCUUAACGUCGGAAGAAGAAGUUCUUUCGUUGACCUUCCCACGAGCUUCGUCUAGUUUGUGGGGAGUAUAUAGAAGUCGGAUUUGGUAUUUGGAUAUUUUUUGUAUCAAUGAUCUGGCGAAUUCUCAAUGAUUCAUUCUUAGAUUGUCUAAAUGACGAAUAAAUGACGAAGAGAUCAAAAAUUUUAACUAUUCUGAAAUGUUGAUUGUAAUACUAAUAAGGGGUAAAUCAACUGAGUAUUCAACUUUUUUAAGUCUUUCUAAUUUCUAUACGAAAGGAACUGAUGUAUACAUAGGGAAAGCCGUGUGCAAUGAAAAGUGCAAGCACGGCUUGG